CAAUAAUCACCUCCUGUGCUUGGAGAGGAGGAAAGGAAGGUGUCUGUAAUCACCAUGCUUAACUAAAGUCUCCUGUGUGAAGAUCUCAAACAGCCUUGGAAGUAUCAGCUGAUGUACUCAGCUGAUGUACUCAGCUUGCACUUCCAGGAGAAUAAAUCUUCCUGUCCUGGGGCACAAAGAGGUCAGGGGAGAGCAGCAGAACUCUGGGGUGCUCCUGUCCUGCACUCAGUCCAGUGUUCCAGAGGCUGAACAAGGGAAAGGAGAGAGAUGCUGUCGAUGUGAGAUGUGCACAGCGAGUGAUUCCUGAAGUAAGAAGAGUCUUGAGAAUGUGAGUAAUAAACAGCUUCUAAAAUCUUUUGGAAAAUAACCCAGGAAACUCUUGUGAGCAGCACCACAGCU
rnacentral:lncRNA from 1 species